rnacentral:lncRNA from 1 species
AUCUCACUGCUUAGUGAUGCUACCAUUUAAAGUCAUUUUAGUGACGAUUGUAUCUUGUUCCUGUGAUUAAAUUAAUAUUUAAUGGGUGAUUGCUGUUACUUGGAAAUGUGACAUGAGAAGACUCAAAACCAGUAACAUCCAUUUUUAAAUAUGAAGCCAUAAACUUUUAUAUCACUUACAGUACCUUGUAUGUAUACAAUGUCUUUCAACACAGUCUCAGUAUAAAAGCACCAAAUGUAAAAACUAAUAGGUUUAUACAUGAGAAAAGUGAAGUGAGGUGGAAAGUAGCAGAAGAUGAGUAAGAUAUUGUAAUAUUAUUGAUACUUAAUAGUGAUAAUGGCUAUUAAUACAAAUAUUAAAAAUAACAUGAAGAUUCCAAUCUUCUGUAACCCUAAUAUUUCCAACCAGUAUGAGGAUGCAUGGGCUGACAAUACAAACCACUUCACAGUUGCUUUUAUUCAUUCCAUAUACAUUUACUGAGUGCCAAACAGGGUGCUGAAAAAUGUGUUCAGUUUAAUUUGGAGAACGUUUCUGAUAAGUAAUAAUAUAAGCAGGAUAGAAAGUAUUUACUUAUGUGCCAGGCACUAUACUAAGCAGUUUUAUUGUAUUAAUUCAUCUAUUUCUACCAGCAGCCCUGUGGGAUGGCUACUAUGAUUAACCCAUUUUAUAGAUGAAACUACUAAAACUCAAGAGAGGUGUGUGACUUGUCCAAGAUCACACGGCUAACGCUGGCACAACCACGAUUCAAACACAGGCAAUGUGCCUCUAAAGUCCACCCUCCCUACCCCUAAGCUAAAGUGCCUCCAGGGGGAUUCCUUGCCAAGUAAAAGAAGUCUAAAGAAAGAAUAUAAUUUUCAGGAUUCAGAACCAUCGCAAGCCAAAAAUAUCCACCUCUCAAGAAGCCUGGCCCAAAUAUAAGAGGAUAUAGAUGAGAGUGUGCACCUAGAGACAGCACCAGGGUAGUGGAAAUACACCCAGAAACAGAAGCUCAGUGCCGACUACCGGCAUGACCUUGGGCCAAUGCCUUAAAACUUUCCAGCUUUAGCUUCCUUAUCUCUGAGCUAGAGAUGUUUAAAUUACAGAUCAGUAUAACCACGUGGUUAAAGCAAACAAUCUCGGCUAUUAAUCUGGAUUCCGUCACUUUCCAAUUAUGUUACCUUGAGCAAGUUAUUUAACCUCUGUGAGCCUCAAUUUCCAUCUGAAAAAAAAAAACGGGAAUAAUAAUGGGGUUUUCUGAGGACUAAAUGAACUGUACAUAGAAAUACAUAAAGCACUCAGAGUAGCAACCAGUAUAGAAUAAAAGCUCAAGGUUUUAUUACUGAUACUAUAAUCACUAUGACUUUUAGUAGAAUUACAUUUUUUAUAAAACUACCCACUUCUUCCCUUUUCAAAAUCCUCUCAAAGAAGAGCUAUUUUUUGAGUUGGUUUCAACAGCAGAAAGGACAACCUUUGCUGGCUUCAUACAAGCACUAACCAGUCCGUGAAUCACCAAUUCCCUAUGAGAUGUAAGCUGGAUUUGUUGGGCAAGCCUUCUAAGACCGCUCCUUCCAAGGGGAGGAAAGAGUGGUAAGCGCCCUUUUGUUCUCCCUCUUCCUUAUGCCUGGAAUUCAGAAGAUGGAGCUGGAAGUGAAGCAGCCCUGAGGAAUUGUGAGCAUCCCAUAAGCUAGCGGGGCAAAGCUGAAAGCACCCCUUACCCACCACAGACCUCCCACCCCCACCCACCAUCUUCACAUGGGGGAGAAAUUUACACGGGUCAGGUUACUGAAUUCAAGUUUUCCAAAUGUCUAUAGCAUAUCGCAUUAGGCUUUAGUUAACACUUACUUUGACUAACCCCCUAAAACACCAUUUCAAAACGUAAAGCUCAGAAAUAAAUUACUUACAUGUUCUCUAGUCUUUUACAGCACCAUCUCUUAAAAACAUGCACAAAAACAGCACCUGCUUAGCAGUGCCAUCUUCAACUCCUCAAUUGUUUUGUUUUGUUUGUAUUGAUUAUAUUCUCUUAUUAUCUGUGUUCUUGAUACUCCCGUAUUUGGGGCCUUGACUGUGGAGAGACUGUUCCUCCCUGGGCUGGCUAAUUCCUAGAGACAGAAAACACCCCUGUGCGAGCGUGCCUGUGAUAUACAAACCAACCAAUCCAGAGCCACAGCAGGGCCUCACUCUGUCAUCCAGGCUGGAGUGCCGUGGCGUCAUCUUGGCUCACUGCAAUCUCUGCCUCUCAGGUUCAAGCGAUUCUCACACCUCAGCCUCCCAAGUAGCUGGGAUUACAGGCAUAUACCACCACGUAUGGCUAACUUUUGUAUUUUUAGUAGAGACGAGUUUUCACCAUGUUGGCCAGGCUGGUCUCAAACUUCCGGCCUCAAAUAAUCCAUCCACUUCAGCCUCCCACAGUGCUGGGAUUACAGAUGUGAGCAACCGUGCCCAGCCCCUAAGUAAAUUCUUAUACUGACAACUGGAUAAUAUGAUUCAGAAUGUAAUCAAAAUAUUAGUGCAACUGAUGCAAAUGAAAUAAAUGUCCAAGAAGUCAGUGAUAUGUAUCUGUUUUGUGCACUAUUGUAUCCCCAUGUCACUGAGAACCCCAGAAAGUACCAGCAUCAAAUUGCAAGGUCAAGAUGGCAUAAAACACGGUUGCAUGUACUGGGCAAGAAGCACUUUGAUGGUGAGCUGAGAAACUGCUUUCGCCAUGUACUGAGCCUGGGAUGGAAUCAGAAUCACAGGGUGCGGGGUCAGCAUGGGAGCAGG